rnacentral:lncRNA from 1 species
UAUUCCAGGGGCACUCCCCAGCACACACCCUCCUGCCUGCAAAUCUCUGCCUCAGAUUCUGUUUCCUGGGUAACCUGACCUAAGAAAAUUGAUCAUACAUAGAACCCUACUGUAACUGACUCCUUUGAAGAACUAUGAAAGAUGAGGGAGUGAGAAAAAAAAAAAAAUCACAGUGUCCCAUAUCUCUGUUAAGCUGUAGACCUCAAAGCAUGUCACAGAGAACCUAAAUGACACCUAUCGCAAUGAAGCACAGGGGUUGGCCUCAACAGUUGUAAUUGUCCUACACCACCUUCUCCUGGAAAUUGCUGGACCAUCGAUCCCAGCCUGGGUCAACAUCUCUAUCCUAUUGACUUGUAACAAAGAGACUGAUAAUGUAGUUUUCUACUACAAACAUGAAAUUGAGAGCUCUGGCAUGAACAUGUGCAUGGAGAAACAGUUGUGUUGUUCAUGUAAGAGAUGAAUGUAACAGACAAGAAACCAUAUUAUCCACAGUUUUUACAGUAAAGGAGACCAACCAGCCUUAUAGAGGAGCUAUUCCCAGAACUUACCAUAAAAUGCAAGGACAUCCAAGUGGCACCAAGGGUGGAUGAGAGUGGAUGCUCUGAAGCACCAGCCAGAUCCCCUUUAAGAAUUGAAGCACUAAUUUCCCCAGCUGCUGGAAGUGCUGGUAGCUGACGACCCUCAGCUGAAGAAUGUUGACUCACACAAGCUUGUAGCCUCUCCCUGAUGGAAACCAAUAGCCUACAGGUGGUCGAAUCCAGUCCCUAAAAGUCAGCACCUGCCCCCGCAUGCUUGCCUCAAAGAAGGGCAAUUGUCUCAAUUGCAGCGUUCCCUGAGCUAUGGACUGAAGCAUCCACUGCAACUCCUUCACCAUUCUAUUUCUUCCUCUGUGUAAUCAUGUUUUUUUUCUGUCCUCACAAGUGUUAUUACUGAGAGCAAUUUCCAAUAAAGUUUCUGCCUACAAAAUAA